UACAGGGGGUGCAAACGUUGCUCGGAAUCAUUGGGCGUAAAGCGCACGUAGGCGGUUCGUUAUGUCGGAUGUAAAAGCCCUUGGCUUAACCGAGGAAGUGCAUCCGAAACUGGCGAGCUAGAGUACUAAAGAGGAUCGCGGAAUUCCCGGUGUAGAGGUGAAAUUCGUAGAUAUCGGGAGGAACACCAAUAGCAGAGGCAGCUCGCGUGGACGGUACUGACGCUAAGGCGCGAAAGCGUGGGGGAGCAGAACAG
rnacentral:rRNA from 1 species